GUAGGUGGCAAGCGUUGUCCGGAAUUAUUGGGCGUAAAGCGCGCGCAGGCGGUCCUUUAAGUCUGAUGUGAAAGCCCACGGCUCAACCGUGGAGGGUCAUUGGAAACUGGGGGACUUGAGUACAGAAGAGGAAAGCGGAAUUCCAAGUGUAGCGGUGAAAUGCGUAGAGAUUUGGAGGAACACCAGUGGCGAAGGCGGCUUUCUGGUCUGUAACUGACGCUGAGGCGCGAAAGCGUGGGGAGCAAACAGGAUUAGAUACCCUGGUAGUCCACGCCGUAAACGAUGAGCGCUAAGUGUUAGGGGGUUUCCCGCCCCCCUUAGUGCUGCAGCUAACGCAUUAAGCACUCCGCCUGGGGAGUACGGCCGCAAGGCUG
rnacentral:rRNA from 1 species